GACGAACGCUGGCGGCGUGCUUAACACAUGCAAGUCGAACGGAAAGGCCCUGCUUUUGUGGGGUGCUCGAGUGGCGAACGGGUGAGUAACACGUGAGUAACCUGCCCUUGACUUUGGGAUAACUUCAGGAAACUGGGGCUAAUACCGGAUAGGAGCUCCUGCUGCAUGGUGGGGGUUGGAAAGUUUCGGCUGUUGGGGAUGGACUGGCGGCUUAUGAGCUUGUUGGUGGGGUAGUUGCUUACCAAGGCUUUGACGGGUAGCCGGCCUGAGAGGGUGACCGGGGUCAAGACUACUGAGAGAGGCCGCAGACGGCAACGGGAGGCAGCAGGGGGAAGUAUUGCACAGUGGGCGGGAGCGGGAGGCGGAGACGCCGCGUGCGGGAAGACGGCCUUCGGGGUGAGAACCGCUGUCGCCUGAGACGAAGCGUGAGUGACGGUAAUGAAUAAAGAAGCACCGGCUAACUACGUG
rnacentral:rRNA from 1 species